rnacentral:rRNA from 1 species
GAACUGAAGAGUUUGAUCAUGGCUCAGAUUGAACGCUGGCGGCAGGCCUAACACAUGCAAGUCGAGCGCGAAAACACUUCGGUGUGAGUAGAGCGGCGGACGGGUGAGUAAUGCUUGGGAAUCUGCCCAGUAGUGGGGGAUAACCUGUGGAAACGCAGGCUAAUACCGCAUACGUCCUACGGGAGAAAGCAGGGGAUCUUCGGACCUUGCGCUAUUGGAUGAGCCCAAGUCGGAUUAGCUUGUUGGUAGGGUAAUGGCCUACCAAGGCAACGAUCCGUAGCUGGUCUGAGAGGAUGAUCAGCCACACUGGGACUGAGACACGGCCCAGACUCCUACGGGAGGCAGCAGUGGG